rnacentral:rRNA from 1 species
CCGGGAACUCUAGGGAGACUGCCGGUGUCAAACCGGAGGAAGGUAGGGACGACGUCAAGUCAUCAUGGCCCUUACGCCCAGGGCGACACACGUGCUACAAUGGCCGGU